CCUCGCGCAUCGCUGUCCCCCACCGAAACACUCCCCCCGCCGCGGCGUUCCCCUGUCCGUCCUCGGCCACCACACUUCGCUCUCACUCCACGCCGCGUACCGCUAUUAAUACCACCGUCCACCUCCGCCACCACCGUGCUCCGUACACGCUCAGCUCCGACCAUGGCCGCCGCCGCCGCGGCCUCCUCCUCCGCACUUCCGUGCCUGCUACUGUUGAUGCUGCUGCUGCUGCCGUCGCUCGACGCCGCCUCCAAUGUGACGUACGACCACCGCUCCCUCAUCAUCGCCGGUCGCCGCCGCCUCCUCAUCUCCACCGCCAUCCACUACCCCCGCAGCGUCCCCGAGAUGUGGCCCAAGCUGGUGGCCGAGGCCAAGGACGGCGGCGCCGACUGCAUUGAGACCUACGUGUUCUGGAACGGCCAUGAGAUCGCCCCAGGCCAGUACUACUUCGAGGACCGGUUCGACCUGGUGCGAUUCGUUAAGGUCGUCAAGGACGCCGGCCUCCUCUUGAUCCUGCGCAUCGGGCCGUUCGUCGCCGCCGAGUGGAACUUUGGAGGCGUGCCGGUGUGGCUGCAUUACGUGCCAGGAACGGUCUUCCGUACGAGCAAUGAGCCAUUCAAGAGCCAUAUGCAGAGCUUCACGACAUACAUCGUGAAUAUGAUGAAGAAAGAGCAGCUCUUCGCUUCACAGGGAGGGAAUAUUAUCCUAGCUCAGAUAGAAAAUGAAUAUGGAGAUUAUUAUGAACAAUCAUAUGGACCUGGUGGCAAGGCAUACGCGAUGUGGGCAGCUAGUAUGGCCGUUGCUCAGAACACUGGUGUCCCUUGGAUAAUGUGCCAGGAGUCUGAUGCUCCCGAUCCCGUGAUAAACACGUGCAAUGGAUUCUACUGCGAUACAUUCCAGCCAAAUUCACCAACCAAGCCAAAAAUGUGGACUGAGAAUUGGCCAGGAUGGUUCCAGACGUUUGGUGAAAGUAAUCCCCACAGACCACCUGAAGACGUUGCGUUUGCCGUUGCACGUUUUUUUGAGAAAGGUGGCAGUGUUCAGAAUUACUAUAUGUACCAUGGUGGAACAAACUUUGGUCGCACUACUGGGGGCCCAUUCAUUACAACUAGCUAUGACUAUGAUGCACCAAUUGAUGAAUAUGGUCUUAGGAGAUUUCCAAAGUGGGCGCAUCUGAGGGAGCUUCACAAAUCUAUAAAAUUGUGCGAGCAUGCCUUGCUUUAUGGAAACACAACUUUUCUUUCCCUGGGACCUAAACAAGAGGCUGAUAUUUACACCGAUCGGUCCGGGGGCUGUGUUGCAUUCCUGGCAAACAUUGAUCCAGAAAAGGACAAAAUUGUCACUUUCAAUAACAGGAAAUAUGAUCUUCCUGCUUGGUCAGUUAGUAUCCUUCCCGACUGCAAGAAUGUGGUGUUCAACACUGCAAAGGUGCAAUCUCAAACUUCGAUGGUGACUAUGGUUCCAGAAAGUUUGCAAGCUUCAAAAUCUGAUCGAUGGAGCAUUUUCAGAGAGAGAACUGGGAUUUGGGGUAAAAAUGACUUCGUCCAAAAUGGAUUUGUGGACCAUAUUAAUACAACAAAGGACUCCACUGACUACCUAUGGUAUACAACAAGCAGUUUUAGUGUGGAUGGAAGUUACCCAUCAAAAGGGAGCCAUGCUGUUCUUAACAUUGACUCCAAAGGCCAUGGGGUCCAUGCUUUCCUGAAUAAUGAGUUUAUAGGUAGUGCAUAUGGCAAUGGUUCAAAAUCAAGUUUCACUGUGGAAUUGCCUAUCAACCUGAGGACUGGGAAGAAUGAACUUGCCCUUCUGAGUAUGACCGUUGGUUUACAAAAUGCAGGACCCUCUUAUGAGUGGAUAGGAGCAGGCUUUACAAAUGUGAACAUCUCUGGUUUGAAAAAUGGAGCCAUAGACUUGUCUUCAAAUAAUUGGGCGUACAAGAUUGGAUUGGAAGGGGAAUAUUAUAGUUUGUUCAAGCCUGAUCAGAGAAGUAACAAACGGUGGAUACCACAAUCUGAGCCACCGAAAAACCAACCUUUGACAUGGUACAAGGUAAAUGUUGAUGUUCCACAAGGAGAUGACCCAGUUGGGAUAGACAUGCAGUCUAUGGGGAAAGGCCUGGCUUGGUUGAAUGGAAAUGCCAUUGGGAGGUAUUGGCCCAGGACUAGUUCCAGUGAUGAUAGGUGCACUCCCAGUUGUAACUACAGGGGAGCAUUUAAUCCAGACAAGUGCAGAACAGGUUGUGGACAGCCAACUCAGAGAUGGUACCAUGUCCCACGGUCAUGGUUUCAUCCAUCAGAGAACACCCUUGUUGUUUUUGAGGAGAAGGGUGGGGAUCCCACGAAGAUCACAUUCUCAAGAAGAGUUGUGUCAAGCGUAUGCUCCUUUGUGUCAGAGCACUAUCCUUCCAUAGACUUAGAGUCCUGGGAUAAAAGUAUCACAAAUGAUGCCACAGCCGCAGCCAAAGUGCAGUUGUCUUGCCCCAAGGGCAAAAAUAUAUCUUCAGUAAAGUUUGCGAGCUUGGGAAACCCCAGCGGAACUUGCAGAUCGUACCAAAAGGGAAGCUGCCACCACCCGAACUCCUUAUCUGUUGUUGAGAAGGCCUGUCUGAACACCAAUAGCUGUGCAGUCUCCCUGUCAGAUGGGGGCUUUGGGGAAGAUUUAUGCCCUGGAGUCACCAAAACACUUGCCGUCGAAGCGGACUGUUCUUAGUGAGCUAUCUCUGUUAUGCAUUCCAGGUUCCACUACAAGUGCGCUCAUCAAAAAUUAUAAAUUGUAUCAGAUCGCACUGAAUAGAGCCCCCUCCAUUGCCCCCUCUUAAUGUUGCGUCGCGUCAUGAACUUUCUGGAUUAGCCAAUGACAAUGAUGCAAGGCUACGCAUAAAUUCUAGGUCAGAAAGAUGGCUUGUCGUUUCCUCACUAUUGGGGGACACAAAUGAGCUUCCCCACAGUGAUACCAGCAGGUUCACAGUGCGGGACUGUGGAUGGAGGGAGACGAAACCUCCAGCUUAGUGCCCCAUUUGCCGUAGCAUCUGGGUCACGUACUACUUGGGAUCUGUUCGUGCUGUACGGACAUCGGAGUGUGCAGUAGGAAUAAAUCUUCAAUCGCCCAUUAAACUGAGUCGUACUCCUUUAUAAAAAAAAAACUGAGUCGUAGUCCAGAUGACAUGAAUACUCCCAAUUUUGUGGACUCCAGUGCAAAUUGUGCAAUUCAAUCUUGUUUGUA